AUUGAACGCUCGCGGCAUGCCUAACACAUGCAAGUCGAACGGAGUGGCGAACGGGUGAGUAAUGUAUCGGAACGUGCCCAGUAGAGGGGGAUAACUACGCGAAAGCGUAGCUAAUACCGCAUACUAUUGGAGCGGGCGAUAUUGGAUUAGCUAGUUGGGGGGGUAACGGCUCACCAAGGCGACGAUCCGUAGCUGGUUUGAGAGGACGACCAGCCACACUGGGACGUGGACACGGCCCAGACUCCUACGGGAGGCAGCAGUGGGGAAUUUUUGACAAUGGGGGAAACCCUGAUCCGUCCAUCCCGCGUGUGGUGUAAAGGCCUUCGGGUUGUAAAGCACUUUUGGCAGGAAAGCGGUAAGUGCAGAAUAAGCGCCGGCUAAGUACGUGCCAGCCGCCGCGGUUAUUC
rnacentral:rRNA from 1 species